GCGAACGAUCCCGUCAACUACAUCUUUUCAUGUUACAGAAGAAUGUUAUAUGAAAAAGCAAGGAAUAAAAAUCUCUCUCAAGUAAUGAACCCACUUUUUAUUAUAUGAUUUCUUCAAUAUGCUCUCUUCUUUUACUAAACCACAUUCUAUUCAUGGAUCUUUGCGAAAGCUUAAUGAUUCUUUCUACAAUUACUCUUUCAGGAUACUUCGUAUUUGCUUCAGUCCCAUCUUGAGGUAGAGACGACUUCAACCAAGCUUGAAUAUAUUUAAAAAUCUCUUAGUUGAUCAAAUUUUGGUAUUUUUGUCUUUGUAAUUAAAUGUAAGUAAGACGUAUUGAUGGUGAUCUAAAUAUAUCAACCAAGCUUGGAUUAUUUUUAUUUUUUGUUCAAGCUUUGGAUUAAUUAAUUAAAGAUUUUUUAGUGUGGGAGUUGAAUCCAAUGGCUAAGAUUCUUUAGCUUGAUUGUUUUAUAUCCCUUCUUAAUUUAAUACGUCCACUCAUCGUCAACGUCGUGUAAGAACCACCGCUGGAUCAAAACCAAAGAAAUACAAACGGAUGAAAGAACCGUCGUUGUAUGUUUUGGCAUAAUUGUAGUUAUUAACUUUGGUUUGUUACGCUUCUUCACAUGAAAAUGUAGUAAUCUUCUGAAAACCAUUUUUCUACCUCGUAAUUAGUCAUACUAUAAUCACUGAUUUAUCCUCAUAAUUUUCCUUCAAAAGAAUGUGAGCAUAAGUGUACAAAGAAUUCGUAUAAUACCAAUAAGUAGCUUAAUAUUAAUUCGGGUCACUACUGAUAAGUAACUCAGGCUGAUGGAUGAGCUGGAAGUGAAGCUGACAUGGCACUGUGUGAAGGUGGCUCAGUUGAUUAACCGUUAGAAUCAGUUAGCCAACAACUGAAUCUUAUGUAACGUACUCAUCUUCUUCAUCUAGGGUUGGCCAUUUUCUAGGAUUGUAUGAAACACUGAGAGAAAUCUCUUGUAAAUGGGCUCAAGGUCAUUAGAAAUACUGAGAUUGUAAUUCCUUCAAAAACAAUAAUAAUACACUGCUUGUGCUCUAUCAUCUACAUAUCAUUUCUUGAGCCUACCGUUACACUCUUUGUAAUUUCCAAAGCUGUCCUCUUGCUUUCUUCACUCGAAACUUUCAGCUGGAACCCUACGGUCUGCAUAGAGAAGAAGUGUUUUGAUUGUUUUAGGUGUCAAUAUUCAAGAUCAUACCUCAAACUGGUGCGACAUUUUUGAGGAGGCACAGAUGCAACUUCGCCAGCCAGUCCAAAGUCAGCAAUCUUGAGGAUAUUGCUGGUCACCAGCAAAUUCUCUCCAGAACAAAAAUAAACUAAAACAAUUGUUUAAGUAAAAGAGAGGCCAUUGAGAAUCAGCAUGAAAAAGUUUACAUACCUGGUUUCAGUUGCCGAUGGAAGUAACUAUUUUUAUGCAUGUGUGCGAGGCCUUGAAGCAUCUGAGCAGGGCCGGCCCUGGGCUAAAGCCCAUAAAGCUAGGGCUUAGGGCGCCACAAAUAAUAGAUAGUUUAUGGGCGCCAAAAUUGAAAACAUUGCUUCUAGUCUAGUGGUCGUAGAGUUCUCCCUAUGUCCUUCACCUCACAGGUUCGAUCUGUACCCUUUCUAAACUUCUAUACUUUUUUUAUAGUAACAGCAUUUUCCUUUUCUGAAGAUAACUACAAAAGAUUUCUUCAUUCAAUGACAUGAAAUGUUUGGUUAUAUGUUCCAACGACCCAUAUGUUAUUAGAUAAAUAAUUUAAUCAACACAACUUAAUUAUAUCUUUUAUUUUUUUAAAACAAUUAUUCUUCUCUGCUUUUUUUUUCUGUUUUGUUAAUUGUUAAACUAGCUUUGUAACUAAAAAAAUAUCAUAAAAGAUAAUAUUAACUUAAAAUAUCAGUUGCUGAUGUUUCACUCUUCCAUUGUGAUUGAAUUUGAAAUAUCUCAAUGGGAAUCUCAAAUAGGUCUUUUCUUUAUUUUAUUUUUCUGCAAGUGUUUGUAAUUUUGUUAGAAACUUUUGAAUUUUAAAAAAAAAUUCUUAACAUCAUAGGGUUUUAUUAUUAUGUGAAAACAAUAAAAUUUGUGAAGUUGAUGUUAGCAUACUUUAUUAUAUGUUCUAUUUAUCUAUAAAUUAUAUUUUUGUUCUUUUUGAAUUUGUAAAAAUGCUGCUAAAAAGAUAUUUAAAAUUAACCAAAUAAUUAAAAAAAGACUUGAAAUUUUUUAUUCAAAAAUAAGGAAAAAACAGACAAUAUAAAUUAAAAAUAAUGUUUUAAUAUUUUUUUUUUAAAUAUCUCUAAUUUUAACACUAUCUAGCAUUAUUUUAAUCAUAUACAUAAAAGCAUAAUAAAUGUAGUUAUAAUAAAGGGGCAACAUUUUUUUGGUCCGCUUUAGGCCGCCGACAAGUCCGGACCGGCACUGCAUCUGAGACAUAAAAGUACUUAUUUCUCCCUCAGAGAAAGGUCGUUGUUCCCUUUCUUGCGUUAUCUGGUACAGAUUGUGGUCCUGAUCAAGGAGAACAUACCAGUAGGUAAGUAACACAUGUUACAAAGGGAAAAGAAAAGCAAAUAUCAUCUCUACUACCAUGCACACAAAGAUGGAAAGGUGGAUUUGGGAAUUCGCCAUGAGUUGAUGAUUCAAUUCAGAAAGAUUUCGUUAGAUAAGGAGAUGCAGAAACGGGCCAUUUCCUCUGGAGGACAGUGACCAUAUAUAUACACCAGACUCUACAUAUAUAGAAGGUGUAGGCUGAAUUAAAUAGCACAUAAUGGGGGAACUUGAUUGCAAACAAUUAUUAAGAUGAUUAACUCAGUUGACUGAAUGGAGAGGAAACAGAGCCAACGGCAGUUACGCAAGUCUGUUCAUACUCGAAACUUGUAUUGUUGCUUAGAGCUUCUUGUCUGGACCUGCAACCAAAUUACAUAAUGGGUCAUUAGUUCACUGGAAAUAAACAGACGUGGCUGGAUUGAUAAUUAUUGGACUGAUAAUUAUUUUUAAGCCGAAAACAACCGUGCCUGACGUGUCAAUUGAAGAAACUUUGAUGAAGCUGAGUUAUCUAAGAGUUUCGGUGCAAAUCUGUCGUCCGAAAGUAGAGGAUUUCGAGAGGCUACACUGGAGGUGUAUAUAUACACUGCAUAGAGCUGGUGAACGAUGAUUUAAUGCUGCAGUGAAGAGGAGAUAGUGGGAUUAGUGGGAUUUGAUGAUCGAAAGGCAUUAAAACUGAACGUUACUUUUCGAUUGCAUAAACCUUCAGACUGCGGCCGAAAAGAGGAAGGAGAAGAAGGGUGAUACCUUGAUGGGCUCAAAUAGACCAUAAUUGCAUAGCUUCCACCAUGAGUAAGAAUAAGAAGUUUGAAGAAUGCUUGCCACGUGUCAUAAAAAGGAGCAGUGUACGCUGACGUAGACACAGGAGGAACUUUUCUGCUCAACUUUGUUAAUAUAGAUAUUUAGCUUUAUCCAUUUUAAUUAUUUAAUAGGGAUUUGUCUUGCAUACGCCCAUGAUUUCUAUUUUGUAUUAUAAUAUACUAUUUUAUAAAUAUAUAUAUAUAUAUAUUAUAUAUAUAUUAUAAUUGAUUAUAAAACAAGUCUGUAUACAUAUUUAAAACUCUUUAUAUUGAUUGUUUUUUGUCUAAAUGUUUUGAAAUGAUAGAAUUCAUAAUUUGUUUUGUGUUCUAUUAUUUUAAUCAUAGAUGUAAUGGCAUGAGUUAUAAAUUAAUUGAACAUUUAAUUUUGAUAUAAAUAAUUUAUUGUUUUGAUUAUUUAAGGUUUUAUUUGAAACAUUUUUAUAUUUACUUUUGAUUUAAAUUUUGUUAUGAGUUUUCAUUUUAUUUGUCAUCCAUCUAAGUAUAAACCAACUUUGACUUGGUUUAUAUCAUAAAUAAAUUUAUCAGUCUAACUAAAUUCAUAGUAUGUGAUUUUAGUUUAGUAUACAUAAAUUAUUUUUUAUAUUUUUUUGACAACGAAACCAAAAUUCUCUAGCUAAAUUGUUAUGUAGAAAAUUAUUAAUAUGAUUUUAAUUACACUGAAAAUUUAAACUUCUUAUUUCUUACCAAACCAAAUAAUAUCAUCCCGAACUAUUUUAUGAUAGAUAAAUUGUUAGCAAAUGGACCAGAAAAACAAAAUGAUAUUGUCCUCCAAGCCAACUUAUGAGGAAACAUCUAUAUACAUAAAGAAGACUUUUCUCUCUUCUCCACCUCAUUAAAUAGGAAAAUCCUGGCACGACACAUGGCAUCUUCAAGUUGUAGUUUCUGUAAAGUUUCACGACAGGGCCUGGGCUAUUCUCUAUCCAAAUUCUGCGAUCAUUAUUUUGGGCUUAUCCAGUUUUGGAAUUUGAGAUAUGUAUGAAGAUUACAUGGCCACAUUUUUUUGUGUCUUCUCCAAAACCCCGAAGAUGAAGCAGUUACGGAGUCACCGCCGGCUAACAGCUACUGUUCUCCCAACCAUCAAUAAUGAUCUGAGUGUUUCACUGUCUGCUAUUAAUUUUGAUAAAGAACAACUUGAAUCAGUCCUUUCUGUUUUGCCGAUUGGAGUUCUUCAACCUGAGAAUGAAUUCCGGCACCAUUACGCUCUCAAUAAUUAGAAUGGCAAACUCUAGUCUGGUACUUGGUGAUUUGAAGGACGGCCAGUUGAAGCUCCACCGUUCACCUGAGAUUCUGGGAGGCUCGAAAUGUAAAGACAGCAGGUGAGUUUAUAGGUAUUAACAUGUAGAGUUUAUAUCUUUCAGUUUCAUAGAAAAGCCGUCUACUUUGGUUGCUCUUACUUUUCACUUCAUCUGUCCGGAACUAAAAAAGACGUGUGUAAUUCAAAGUGAUACAAAGGUGUGAUCACUUCCUUCCAUCUCUCCUUCAUGGUUCUGUUUCUUGAAACUAUAACAACUUUGUUAUUGAGCUGGGAAGAUGUGUGUUCUUUUGUACACGCCGUCAAUGGUUUCGGGCCCUUUUGAAUAAAGCCUAAAUCUUUGCUUAGAUUGUCGAAUCAAUUGAAUGUUUCGUAAAAGCAUUGUAUAAUUGUUGUUGUUAUUUCAGUAACUUUGUCUAAGACAAAGAAGAAAGGAAGGAAGGGAGCACAUGGAUAGUAUUGUUGAUGGAAUCAGAGAGUUUGUCGAGAAAUAUAAUUCUAUAUCUAUGUUUUCUCUUUUGAAAACAUGGGAAAUAUCAAAUACACAGAGUUCAGACAACAAUUUAGACACAAUGAAAGAUCGUUUCUUUGUUAUUUCUUUUGUUACUAUGAGUAGCUGGGUGUUGUUGAAAGUAACUGAGAUUAAUAUAUGUUUCACUUAGUCUUUGAUUUGUAGUUUGGUCUUUCUUAUUGGUUCAGCUUUUUCCUAGGCAAACAAAGUGAUGCAGGUUUCUCUUGGUCGUUCUGCUUCUGAUGAUAUCGGUCCUCCUUAAAGCGUUAUAGAUUGUGUGUUCUGCCUCUUAGAAUAGUGUAUUUAUAUUAGUUGGUCUUUUCUCGCCAAUUGCGCUUUUACAUAUGAUUUGGAAUUUUUUUUUUCCAGUUGCUUCGUGUUGACGUUGGACUUCUUAUUAUGGAUAUGAAAAAGGAAAAGGUUGAAAGGUAUUAUCUUUCUCGAAGCCCUCUUUUUUUUUUCCUUAUCUUGCUUUGGUGAAAAUAACAGUGAAUGGCUUAAACAGUUUCCUUCUCUCUCCUGGCUUUCAUGUAUCUUUGUUGUAACUGUUUCAAAAUACAUCUUCUUAUUAUCGUUAGAGGUCAUUUUACGCUUAUGAAGAUUCUGAAUUUGUAAGGACUGAAAGCACUGCAGUAGAAACGGUUUGUGGUUAAAACUAUUUGUUGUAGGCUGGACAUCAGGGUGGGCAUGAUGGUUGAUGGAAGCUUGGAUGGUUCGACCAAAGAGAUGAUCGGGUGGGCGAUAUGAGUGGGAUGAAGGUUGUAAACCUGAAACAAAUGUAAAAAAAAUGAGAUGCGGUUUAUGAUAUGAAUGAAACAAUAAAAAUGAACAAAGAAAAAGGAUUGAUAUGGCGGAAUCAAGCUGUUGGAUGUGUAUCACUCUCAGCUUGAUCAAAGAAUGAACUUGAAGUGAAUUUGCGGAUGAAGGUUUGAUUGAAUCUCUCAAUCUGAUGGAAUGAUGGAUCGAAUUGAUUGACUCUCUCAAUCUGUGUACUAAGAUUAUUUGAUUUUCACAAAUAAAAUAGACUCACAAAAUCAAUAGAACAACAAAGAUUCUAUCUUUGAAUCCUAAA